rnacentral:misc_RNA from 1 species
AUUAAAGAUAAGCGUACAUGGAAAUUGUUGUUCAAGGGUAUCAUGGACUUACUGGUUCAAGAAAAUAUUAUACUAUCAAGUUGGAAUUGUGUAUUUGCUUACCAGACUUGUACAAAAUGUUUCACAGGCAUAUCUUGCAUUCUAUGUGAUUAAUGAUUUGCGCAUGGCUCAAUCAGCUAAAGCUUUGGUACCUGCAAUUAUCUACAUCAGCAGCUUUGUCAUAUCUAUCAUUAUGCAGGAAAUAUCUUGGACUGGACAACGCCUG